rnacentral:rRNA from 1 species
UACGUAGGGUGCAAGCGUUAAUCGGAAUUACUGGGCGUAAAGCGUACGCAGGCGGCUAUGUAAGACAGGUGUGAAAUCCCCGGGCUUAACCUGGGAACUGCAUUUGUGACUGCAUAGCUAGAGUCUGUCAGAGGGGGGUGGAAUUCCACGUGUAGCAGUGAAAUGCGUAGAGAUGUGGAGGAACACCGAUGGCGGAAGGCAGCCCCCUGGGAUAAGACUGACGCUCAUGUAACGAAAGCGUGGGGAGCAAACAGG